rnacentral:lncRNA from 1 species
UCACUUUUAAGAGCAAUUACACCAAACAUAUAAGUUUUAAGUUCCCCAAAACAUACAAAAUAUGAUUAAAAAAACUCUAAAUCCUUAUAUAUCUUUAUAGAGUAUUAUUUCCAAACUUCAAAAAUUCAUAUCUUCUAAUUAGACUAUUCAAACAUACUCAAAUUUUACACAAAUUACUAAUGUACUUCAAAUAACUACUACAACAAAUUUCAACUACAAAUUCAUUGCGGAUCUUAAGAUAUCAAUAAAAUCCUAAUAAUAGCUUCAAACCCUAGUUUUUAUAUACAUGUAUGUAAUUUUCUUCAUAUCCCAUAAAUUAAGCAUUAAAAUACCACAAAAUUUAUAUUUUUAGCUUCUUAAUAUAAUAAUCUACUCUUUUCAAAUAAUUUGAGCCAUAAAUUUAUUCAAAAAUUUAAGAUAUGGCUCCAACCAUUACUAUGAAUAAAAUCACUUACUUAUUGCCUUUGAUUUGGAUGUAUUGACUUCAAUUCUCUAUAACUUCUUCAUUUGAAUUCCAAAUUUAUCAAAUAGUAUAUAAAAAAUAUAGUAAAAAAAGUAAUCUCUCCAACCUUAAUUGCCGAUUCUUUAUUACUCUUUAUAAACGUAUGUUAUGCUCCAAAGAAUGAUAGUAGGUAUGAAAUUGACACCUUAACUUUGAGUGCCAAUAAAUCCUUCAUAAAAACUCCAAAUUACACAAAAAUUGUAUCCAAUC